GGGAGUGCUCGCAAGAGAACCGGAACACAGGUGCUGCAUGGCUGUCGUCUAGCUCCGUGUCGUGAGAUGUUGGGUUAAGUCCCGCAACGAGCGCAACCCUUGUCAUUAGUUGCCAUCAUUGGUUGGGCACUCUAAUGAGACUGCCGGUGACAAAUCGGAGGAAGUGGGGAUGACGUCAAGUCCUCAUGGCCCUUAUGGGUAGGGCUUCACACGUCGUACAAUGGUCGGUACAGAGGGUUGCCAAGCCGCGAGGUGGAGCCAAUCCCUUAAAGCCGAUCGUAGUCCGGAUCGUAGUCUGCAACUCGACUACGUGAAGUCGGAAUCGCUAGUAAUCGCAGAUCAGCAUGCUGCGGUGAAUACGUUCCCGGGUCUU
rnacentral:rRNA from 1 species